rnacentral:rRNA from 1 species
UACGUAGGAUGCAAGCGUUGUCCGGAAUUAUUGGGCGUAAAGAGCGAGCAGGCGGUUACUUAAGUCAGAUGUAAAAUAUCCCGGCUUAACCGGGAGGGGCCAUUUGAAACUGGGUAACUAGAGUGAAGCAGAGGAUAGCGGAAUUCCCGGUGUAGUGGUGAAAUGCGUAGAUAUCGGGAGGAACACCAGUGGCGAAGGCGGCUAUCUGGGCUUUAACUGACGCUGAGGCGCGAAGGCUAGGGGAGCAAACAGG